rnacentral:rRNA from 1 species
UACGUAGGGUGCGAGCGUUGUCCGGAAUUAUUGGGCGUAAAGAGCUCGUAGGCGGUUUCGUAAGUCGGAUGUGAAAACUCCAGGCUCAACUUGGAGACGCCAUUCGAUACUGCGAUGACUUGAGUCCGGUAGGGGAGUGUGGAAUUCCUGGUGUAGCGGUGAAAUGCGCAGAUAUCAGGAGGAACACCGGCGGCGAAGGCGGCACUCUGGGCCGGUACUGACGCUGAGGAGCGAAAGCGUGGGUAGCAAACAGG